rnacentral:rRNA from 1 species
GACGAACGCUGGCGGCGUGCCUAAUACAUGCAAGUAGAACGCAGUUGCGAACGGGUGAGUAACGCUUAGGUAACUGCCUGGUAGCGGGGGAUAACUAUUGGAAACGAUAGCUAAUACCGCCUCCUACCAGAUGGACCUGCGUUGUAUUAGCUAGUUGGUGAGGUAACGGCUCACCAAGGCAACUCUACAUAGCCGACCUGGGAGGGAGAUCGGACACACUGGGACUGAGAAAAGGGCCAGACUCCUACGGGAGGCAGCAGUAGGGAAGCUUCGGAAAUGGGGGGAAACCUGACCGAGGAACGCCGCGGGAGUGAAGAAGGUUUUCGGAGCGUAAAGCUCUGUUGUGAAGGAAGCGGUACUUAACCAGAAAGGGACGGCUAACUACGUGCCAGCAGCCGCGGUAAUUC